UGGGGAAUUUUGGACAAUGGGCGCAAGCCUGAUCCAGCAAUGCCGCGUGUGUGAAGAAGGCCUUCGGGUUGUAAAGCACUUUUGUCCGGAAAGAAAUCUCCUGGGUUAAUACCCCGGGGGGAUGACGGUACCGGAAGAAUAAGCACCGGCUAACUACGUGCCAGCAGCCGCGGUAAUACGUAGGGUGCGAGCGUUAAUCAGAAUUACUGGGCGUAAAGCGUGCGCAGGCGGCUAUGCAAGACAGAUGUGAAAUCCCCGGGCUCAACCUGGGAACUGCAUUUGUGACUGCAUGGCUAGAGUGCGUCAGAGGGAGGUGGAAUUCCGCGUGUAGCAGUGAAAUACGUAGAGAUGCGGAGGAACACCGAUGGCGAAGGCAGCCUCCUGGGAUGACACUGACGCUCAUGCACGAAAGCGUGGGGAGCAAACAG
rnacentral:rRNA from 1 species